UACGUAGGGCGCAAGCGUUGUCCGGAAUUAUUGGGCGUAAAGAGCUCGUAGGCGGUCCGUCACGUCUGCUGUGAAAACCCGGGGCUUAACCCCGGGCUUGCAGUGGAUACGGGCAGACUAGAGGCAGGUAGGGGAGAAUGGAAUUCCCGGUGUAGCGGUGAAAUGCGCAGAUAUCAGGAGGAACACCGAUGGCGAAGGCAGAUCUCUGGGCCGUAACUGACGCUGAGGAGCGAAAGCAUGGGGAGCGAACAGG
rnacentral:rRNA from 1 species